rnacentral:ncRNA from 10 species
GGAAUUGACGGAAGGGCACCACCAGGA